CAGCAGCCGCGGUAAUACAGAGGGUGCGAGCGUUAAUCGGAUUUACUGGGCGUAAAGCGUGCGUAGGCGGCUUCUUAAGUCGGAUGUGAAAUCCCUGAGCUUAACUUAGGAAUUGCAUUCGAUACUGGGAAGCUAGAGUAUGGGAGAGGAUGGUAGAAUUCCAGGUGUAGCGGUGAAAUGCGUAGAGAUCUGGAGGAAUACCGAUGGCGAAGGCAGCCAUCUGGCCUAAUACUGACGCUGAGGUACGAAAGCAUGGGGAGCAAACAGGAUUAGAUACCCGUAGUCCAUGUCUCUUAUACAC
rnacentral:rRNA from 1 species